rnacentral:rRNA from 1 species
UACGUAGGCAGCGAGCGUUGUUCGGAGUUACUGGGCGUAAAGGGUGUGUAGGCGGUUAUUUAAGUUUGGUGUGAAAUCUCCCGGCUCAACCGGGAGGGUGCGCCGAAUACUGAAUGACUUGGAGUGCGGGAGAGGUGAGUGGAAUUCCUGGUGUAGCGGUGAAAUGCGUAGAUAUCAGGAGGAACACCGGUGGUGUAGACGGCUCACUGGACCGUACUGACGCUGAGACACGAAAGCGUGGGUAGCAAACAGG